rnacentral:lncRNA from 1 species
CAACAUAAUUCACACGAGAAAGAGUUUCUCAUGAAAUCUUUCUACACACAAAGAGUCCACGCCCUUCUCUUCUCACGCCACAAGUGGAUAGGGAUAAUUUGGUUUUCAUUUGAAUUCAAAUUUGAUUUGAAUUCAAAUGUGUAACCACUUGUCUUUAUCCUCUCACGCGGAUAAGACACAUUUUGAACUGUUUUAAAAGACAUAGGGAGGUGGGGCGUGCGUAGAAAAAUUUUGACAAAGAAAGUGGGGCGUGAGGAAGCCUUGUGCAUGAGGUGAAGGUCCAAAACCUUCCAAGA